rnacentral:rRNA from 1 species
ACAAACCGGAGGAAGGUGGGGAGUGACGUCAAGUCAUCAUGGCCCUUACGGCCUGGGCGUACACACGUGCUACAAUGGUCGGUACAAAGGGUUGCCAAGCCGCGAGGUGGAGCUAAUCCCAUAAAACCGAUCGUAGUCCGGAUCGCAGUCUGCAACUCGACUGCGUGAAGUCGGAAUCGCUAGUAAUCGUGAAUCAGAAUGUCACGGUGAAUACGUUCCCGGGCCUU